rnacentral:other from 1 species
GCGGGACUGCCCGGCACGAGCCGAUUGAAUAUCCCUGAGGCUAUAAGCAUUCCUAGGGAGUUGUCCCUGCUCCGGAACACGGGUUCGUCCUGAGGACCGGGGUAUACGGCGCCCACCUGACGUUUUCGCGUCAGAGGAUUUCCCGGUAACGACCCAUGGUGGUUCCGCC